CGCGGGGUGGAGCAGUGGCAGCUCGUUGGGCUCAUAACCCAAAGGUCCCCGGUUCGAGUCCUGUCCCCGCUAC
rnacentral:tRNA from 1 species